rnacentral:rRNA from 1 species
UGGGGAAUAUUGGACAAUGGGGGCAACCCUGAUCCAGCCAUGCCGCGUGAGUGAAGAAGGCCUUCGGGUUGUAAAGCUCUUUUGGCGGGGACGAUGAUGACGGUACCCGCAGAAUAAGCCCCGGCUAACUUCGUGCCAGCAGCCGCGGUAAGACGAAGGGGGCUAGCGUUGUUCGGAAUUACUGGGCGUAAAGGGCGCGUAGGCGGUUUGUUAAGUCAGGCGUGAAAGCCCUGGGCUCAACCUGGGAUGUGCGCUUGAUACUGGCAGGCUUGAGUGCAGGAGAGGAUGGUGGAAUUCCCAGUGUAGAGGUGAAAUUCGUAGAUAUUGGGAAGAACACCGGUGGCGAAGGCGGCCAUCUGGACUGCAACUGACGCUGAGGCGCGAAAGCGUGGGGAGCAAACAGG